rfam:Oscillatoriales cyanobacterium CG2_30_44_21 cg2_3.0_scaffold_277_c, whole genome shotgun sequence.
AUUUUCAACUAAAUAGCUCCAAAGACAGCAGGUGUCAAUCGCUUAAUUUCCUGCCGAGGUGUUCUAGAAAGUAUCUUUUAAGGUGCUUCUGCCUCGGUCUAUGAAUGGACGAGGCUUUUUUAAUGGCUUU